UGGGAAGUAUUGCACAAUGGGGAAACCGGUAGCAUGCAGCCAUGCCGCGUGUAUGAAGAAGGCCUUAGGGUUGUAAAGUACUUUCGGUGAUGAGGAAGGUACUUGGUCUAAUAGGCCAAGUAAUUGACGUUAAUUACAGAAGAAGCACCGGCUAACUCCGUGCCAGCAGCCGCGGUAAUACGGAGGGUGCGAGCGUUAAUCGGAAUGACUGGGCGUAAAGGGCAUGUAGGCGGAUGAUUAAGUUAGGUGUGAAAAUCCCCGACGAGCUCAACUUGGGAAUUGCAUUUAAAACUGGUCGUCUAGAGUAUUGUAGAGGAAGGUAGAAUUCCACGUGUAGCGGUGAAAUGCGUUAGAGAUGUGGAGGAAUACCGGUGGCGAAGGCGGCCUUCUGGACAGAUACCGACGCUGAGAUGCGAAAGCGU
rnacentral:rRNA from 1 species